UUUGGAGGGCAAGUCUGGUGCCAGCAGCCGCGGUAAUUCCAGCUCCAAUAGCGUAUAUUAAAGUUGUUGCAGUUAAAAAGCUCGUAGUUGAAUUUCGGGAUCAAUAUUUCGGUCAUGCCGUUGGUAUGCACUGUUAUCAUUGAUUUCUCACCUUCUAAAGAACCGUAAUGCCAUUAAUUUGGUGUUACGGGGAAUUAGGACUGUUACCUUGAAAAAAUUAGAGUGUUUAAAGCAGG
rnacentral:rRNA from 1 species